GGGACGGCAGGUAGACUAGUGGUUAGAGUGUAGGAACGGCAGGUAGCCUUGUGGUUAGAGUGUAGGGGCGCAGGUAACCUAGUGGUUAGAGUGUAGGGACGGCAGGUAGCCUUGUGGUUAGAGUGUAGGGGCGGCAGGUAACCUAGUGGUUAGAGUGUAGGGGCGGCAGGGCACCUCGUGGUUAGAGUGUAGGGCGGCAGGGCGCCUCGUGGUUAGAGUGUAGUGGCGGCAGGUAGCCUCGUGGUUAGAGUGUAGAGGAGGCAGGUAGCCUAGUGGUUAGAGUGUAGGGGCAACAGGUAGCCUUGUGGUUAGAGUGUAGGGGCGGCAGGUAGCCUCGUGGUUAGAGUGUAGAGGCGGUAGGUAGCUUAGAGUGGUUAGUGUGUAGAGGCGGCAGGUAGCCUAGUGACAACAGCGGCAGGUAGCCUAGUGGUUAGAGUGUAGAGGCGGCAGGUAGCCUCGUGGUUAGAGUGUAGAGGCGGCAGGUAGCCUCGUGGUUAGAGUGUAGAGGCGGCAAGUAGCCUUGUGGUUAGAGUGUGGGGCUGGCAGGGUAGCCUAGUGGUUAGAGCGUAGGGGCGGCAGGGAGCCUUGUGGUUAGAGUGUAGGGGCGACAGGAAGCCUUGUGUUUAGAGCGUAGGGCUGGUAACCGGGAGGUUGCUGGAUCGAAUCCCCGAGCUGACAAGGUAAAACUUAUGUUGUUCUGCUCCUGAGCAAAAGGCAGUUAACCCACUGUUCCACAGGGCGCCGAUGUCGAUUACGGCAUUCACCCCCCGCACCUCUCUGAAUCAGGUUAAAUGUGGAAGACACAUUUCAGUUGAAUACAUUCAGUUGGACAACGGACUAGGUUUCCCC
ensembl:lncRNA